rnacentral:rRNA from 1 species
GACAGAGGGUGCAAACGCUGCUCGGAAUUACUGGGCGUAAAGCGCGUGUAGGCGGGCUUGCAAGUCAGAUGUGAAAUCCCUGGGCUCAACCCAGGAACUGCAUUUGAAACUGCAAGCCUUGAGUAUCGGAGAGGAAAGCGGAAUUCCUGGUGUAGAGGUGAAAUUCGUAGAUAUCAGGAGGAACACCGGUGGCGAAGGCGGCUUUCUGGACGAUAACUGACGCUGAGACGCGAAAGCGUGGGGAGCAAACAGG